GACGAACGCUGGCGGCGUGCUUAACACAUGCAAGUCGAACGGAAAGGCCCUGCUUUUGUGGGGUGCUCGAGUGGCGAACGGGUGAGUAACACGUGAGUAACCUGCCCUUGACUUUGGGAUAACUUCAGGAAACUGGGGCUAAUACCGGAUAGGAGCUCCUGCUGCAUGGUGGGGGUUGGAAAGUUUCGGCGGUUGGGGAUGGACUCGCGGCUUAUCAGCUUGUUGGUGGGGUAGUGGCUUACCAAGGCUUUGACGAGUAGCCGGCCUGAGAGGGUGACCGGCCACAUUGGGACUGGGAUACGGCCCAGACUCCUACGGGAGGCAGCAGUGGGGAAUAUUGCACAAUGGGCGGAAGCCUGAUGCAGCAACGCCGCGUGCGGGAUGACGGCCUUCGGGUUGUAAACCGCUUUCGCCUGUGACGAAGCGUGAGUGACGGUAAUGGGUAAAGAAGCACCGGCUAACUACGUG
rnacentral:rRNA from 1 species